AACGAACGCUGGCGGCAUGCCUAACACAUGCAAGUCGAACGAUGCCUUCGUGCAUAGUUGCGCACCUGUGCGUACCGCCUGGUAAUCUGCCUUUCGGUUCGCUAUCCCUCACUUUAACUUGACUUAAUACCGGUUAACCUCACACCACCAAAGAUUUCUCACGGAAGGAUGAGCCGGCGUAAGUUUCGCUGGUUGGUGAUGUACAGGCUCACCAAGGCGACGGUCGUUAGCUGGUCUGAGAGGAUGAUCAGACACAGUGGGCCUGAGACACGGCACAGACACGGAAGGGAGGAAGGAGUGGGGAAGAUUGGACAAUGGGCGAAAGCUGGAUCAAGCAAUGCCGCGUGAGGGAGGAAGGCCGGAGGGUUGUAAAGCUCGUUUACCAGGGAAGAUAAGGACGGUACCGGGAGAAUAAGCCACGGGUAACUCCGUGC
rnacentral:rRNA from 1 species